rnacentral:rRNA from 1 species
AGCAGUCGCCGCGGUAAAACGAAGGGGGCUAGCGUUGUUCGGAAUUACUGGGCGUAAAGCGCACGUAGGCGGAUAUUUAAGUCAGGGGUGAAAUCCCAGAGCUCAACUCUGGAACUGCCUUUGAUACUGGGUAUCUUGAGUAUGGAAGAGGUGAGUGGAAUUCCGAGUGUAGAGGUGAAAUUCGUAGAUAUUCGGAGGAACACCAGUGGCGAAGGCGGCUCACUGGUCCAUUACUGACGCUGAGGUGCGAAAGCGUGGGGAGCAAACAGGAUUAGAUACCCGCGUAGUCCCUGUCUCUUAUAC